AUUGAACGCUGGCGGCAGGCCUAACACAUGCAAGUCGAGCGGAGCGGCGGACGGGUGAGUAAUGCCUAGGAAUCUGCCUGGUAGUGGGGGAUAACGUCCGGAAACGGGCGCUAAUACCGCAUACUAUCAGAUGAGCCUUGGUCGGAUUCGCUAGUUGGUGGGGUAAAGGCCUACCAAGGCGAGGAUCCGUAACUGGUCUGAGAGGAUGAUCAGUCACACUGGAACGGGAACACGGUCCGGACUCCUACGGGAGGCAUCGGGGGGGAAUAUUGGCCAAUGGGCGAAGUCCUUAUCCAGCCAUGCCGCGGGUGGGAAGAAGGUCUUCGGAUGUUAAAGCACGUUAAGUUGGGAGACGUUACCAAAAGAAUAAGCACCGGCUAACUUCGUGCCAGCAGCCGCGGUAAUUC
rnacentral:rRNA from 1 species